GAUGAACGCUGGCGGCGUGCCUAAUACAUGCAAGUAGAACGCUGAAGCUUGGUGCUUGCACCGAGCGGAUGAGUUGCGAACGGGUGAGUAACGCGUAGGUAACCUGCCUCUUAGCGGGGGAUAACUAUUGGAAACGAUAGCUAAUACCGCAUAAAAGUCGAUAUCGCAUGAUAUUGAUUUGAAAGGUGCAAAUGCAUCACUAAGAGAUGGACCUGCGUUGUAUUAGCUAGUUGGUGAGGUAACGGCUCACCAAGGCGACGAUACAUAGCCGACCUGAGAGGGUGAUCGGCCACACUGGGACUGAGACACGGCCCAGACUCCUACGGGAGGCAGCAGUAGGGAAUCUUCGGCAAUGGGGGCAACCCUGACCGAGCAACGCCGCGUGAGUGAAGAAGGUUUUCGGAUCGUAAAGCUCUGUUGUAAGAGAAGAACGAGUGUGAGAGUGGAAAGUUCACACUGUGACGGCAACUUACCAGAAAGGGACGGCUAACUACGUG
rnacentral:rRNA from 1 species